AAGGAAAAAAAUGCGGCUGGUAGCCCCAUCUCUUGCCACUGGUUUUAUCAUUUCUUCCCUAUCUUUUUUUUUUUUUUUUUCUUGUUGUCUGCCCCAGUGUUGCGGCUCUGUAUUUUUUUGGUGGGGUAAAAUGCAUCAUUUUAAAACUCGUAUGGCUCUAUGUAGUAACAUUCAAGUAAAAAAGGAAGAACGCGACAGCGGGAACUUUGCCAAACCCUAGUUGUUCUUCUUGUGUUUCUUUCUUCUUAUUAUUGAUGGGAGCCAAAAUGUUGUCGUU
rnacentral:ribozyme from 1 species